UGGGGAAUAUUGCACAAUGGGGGAAACCCUGAUGCAGUGACGCCGCGUGAGCGAAGAAGUAUUUCGGUAUGUAAAGCUCUAUCAGCAGGGAAGAAAAUGACGGUACCUGACUAAGAAGCCCCGGCUAACUACGUGCC
rnacentral:rRNA from 1 species